rnacentral:rRNA from 1 species
UACGGGGGGGGCAAGCGUUGUUCGGAAUUACUGGGCGUAAAGGGCUCGUAGGCGGCCAACUAAGUCAGACGUGAAAUCCCUCGGCUUAACCGGGGAACUGCGUCUGAUACUGGAUGGCUUGAGUUUGGGAGAGGGAUGCGGAAUUCCAGGUGUAGCGGUGAAAUGCGUAGAUAUCUGGAGGAAUACCGGUGGCGAAGGCGGCAUCCUGGACCGACAUUGACGCUGAACGGCGAAAGCUAGGGGAGCAAACAGG